rnacentral:rRNA from 1 species
CCUACGGGAGGCAGCAGUGAGGGAUAUUGGUCAAUGGGGGAAACCCUGAACCAGCAACGCCGCGUGCGGGAAGACGGUUUUCGGAUUGUAAACCUCUGUCCUCUGUGAAGAUGAUGACGGUAGCAGAGGAGGAAGCUCCGGCUAACUACGUGCCAGCAGCCGCGGGAAUACGUAGGGAGCAAGCGUUGUCCGGAUUUACUGGGUGUAAAGGGUGCGUAGGCGGCUUUGCAAGUCAGAAGUGAAAUCCAUGGGCUUAACCCAUGAACUGCUUUUGAAACUGCAGAGCUUGAGUGGAGUAGAGGUAGGCGGAAUGCCCGGUGGAGCGGUGAAAUGCGUAGAGAUCGGGAGGAACACCAGUGGCGAAGGAAGCAUACCGGCGCGCAACUGACGCUCAUGCACGAAAGCGUGGGUAUCGAACAGGAUUAGAUACCCUGGUAGUC